GUCACUUUAGCCGAGUGGUUAGGGCGUGUGCCUGUUAAGUACAUGAAGUUUUCCGGCGAGAGUUCGAAUCUCUCAGGCGAUG